rnacentral:tRNA from 1 species
GCCCAGAUAGCUCAGUUGGUAGAGCAGAGGACUGAAAAUCCUCGUGCCACUGGUUCGAUUCCGGUUCUGGGCA